rnacentral:rRNA from 1 species
UACGAAGGGGGCUAGCGUUGCUCGGAAUUACUGGGCGUAAAGCGCACGUAGGCGGCUUCUUAAGUCGGUGGUGAAAUCCUGGAGCUCAACUCCAGAACUGCCUUCGAUACUGGGAGCUCGAGUCCGGGAGAGGUGAGUGGAACUGCGAGUGUAGAGGUGAAAUUCGUAGAUAUUCGCAAGAACACCAGUGGCGAAGGCGGCUCACUGGCCCGGUACUGACGCUGAGGUGGCGAAAGCGUGGGGAGCAAACGGG